rnacentral:rRNA from 1 species
AGUGAACGCUGGCGGCGUGUUUAACACAUGCAAGUCGAACGAGAACGGAUUAUAGCUUGCUAUAAUUGUCAGCUAAGUGGCGCACGGGUGAGUAAUGUAUAGGUAAUAUGCCUCUUACUAAGGGAUAACAAAUGGAAACGUUUGCUAAUACCUUAUACUCCUUAUUAACAGAAGUUAAUAAGGGAAAGAUUUAUUGGUAAGAGAUUAGCCUGUAUUGUAUCAGUUAGUUGGUGGGGUAAUGGCUUACCAAGACUAUGACACAUAACUGGUUUGAGAGGAUGAUCAGUCACACUGGAACUGAGACACGGUCCAGACUCCUAUGGGAGGCAGCAGUGGGGAAUAUUGCACAAUGGACGGAAGUCUGAUGCAGCAACGCCGCGUGGAGGAUGACACAUUUCGGUGCGUAAACUCCUUUUAUAUGAGAAGAUAAUGACGGUAUUAUAUGAAUAAGCACCGGCUAACUCCGUGCCAGCCGCCGCCGUAA